ACCCUCUCUUUUAGAUUAUUUAAAAAGUAAAGCCUGCCCACUGUUUAAAUAAAAGGGCCGCGGUAUUUUGACCGUGCAAAGGUAGCAUAAUCAUUAGCCUUUUAAUUGAAGGAUGGAAUGAAUGGUUUAAUGAUUUUUUUCUAUUAUUUUUAUUUAUAUAACAAUUUUGAUUUUAAGUGAAAAUACUUAAUUAAUUUAAUUAGACGAUAAGACCCUAUAGAAUUUUAUUUUUAAUAUAUUAAAUAAUAUAGAUAGAGUUUAAAUGGGGCAUUUUUUGAUUAAAUAAAAUUUCUAACUAAUUAUUUAAAAAUAUCUUUAUUUUAAUAUUUUUAAAAAAUUACCUUAGGGAUAACAGCGUAAUAAUUUUUAAGAGUUCAUAUCGACAAAAUAGUUUGCGACCUCGAUGUUGAAUUAAAAUACUUUUAUGGAGUAGCUUUUAUAAAAAGUAGUCUGUUCGACUAUUAAAAUUUUACAUGAUUUGAUU
rnacentral:rRNA from 1 species